CUACUAAUGUCUUAAUUCCUCCAAGCUGCUCAUACCAACUUCCAAACCAACUACCUAGGUUAUACCCAUUCCAGACCUGAGUAGGUACAUGCACAAAUUUAACCAUGUGGCUUGUAAGUUCAGCCACUGUCUGCCCUUCAUCAUCUAUGUGCAGACAACAGUUACUUAGAUUAAACUUUCCGCAUACACCUCCUUCUACUGCUAGUAAGUAAUCAAGGGCUAACCUAUUCUGGUAUAUGGCUGAUCACAUCUUGGUAUUUUGCUUAGCUAGAAGAUUAAGCGCUUGAGCUGUCUCAUUAGUAAUAAUCUCAACUACCGCCUGUAG